rnacentral:rRNA from 1 species
CCUAUGGGAGGCAGCAGUGGAGAAUUUUGGACAAUGGGCGAAAGCCUGAUCCAGCCAUGCCGCGUGCAGGAUGAAGGCCUUCGGGUUGUAAACUGCUUUUGUACGGAACGAAAAGGUCUUUUCUAAUAAAGAAGGCUCAUGACGGUACCGUAAGAAUAAGCACCGGCUAACUACGUGCCAGCAGCCGCGGUAAUACGUAGGGUGCGAGCGUUAAUCGGAAUUACUGGGCGUAAAGCGUGCGCAGGCGGUUAUAUAAGACAGUUGUGAAAUCCCCGGGCUCAACCUGGGAACUGCAUCUGUGACUGUAUAGCUAGAGUACGGUAGAGGGGGAUGGAAUUCCGCGUGUAGCAGUGAAAUGCGUAGAUAUGCGGAGGAACACCGAUGGCGAAGGCAAUCCCCUGGACCUGUACUGACGCUCAUGCACGAAAGCGUGGGGAGCAAACAGGAUUAGAUACCCUGGUAGUCCACGCCCUAAACGAUGUCAACUGGUUGUUGGGUCUUCACUGACUCAGUACGAAGCUAACGCGUGAAGUUGACCGCCUGGGGAGUACGGCCGCAAGGUUGAAACUUAAGAGUAGUACGACGUGAGAGAGCGACGACGACGACGACGGAGGAGGAG